rnacentral:rRNA from 1 species
UACAGAGGGGGCAAGCGUUGUUCGGAAUUACUGGGCGUAAAGGGCUCGUAGGCGGCCUGCUAAGUCGAACGUGAAAUCCCCGGGCUCAACCCGGGAACUGCGUCCGAUACUGGCAGGCUUGAAUCCGGGAGAGGGAUGUGGAAUUCCAGGUGUAGCGGUGAAAUGCGUAGAUAUCUGGAGGAACACCGGUGGCGAAGGCGGGUCUCUGGGCCGAUACUGACGCUGAGGAGCGAAAGCGUGGGGAGCGAACAGG